rnacentral:rRNA from 1 species
GAUGAACGCUGGCGGCGUGCCUAAUACAUGCAAGUCGAGCGAACAGACGAGGAGCUUGCUCCUCUGACGUUAGCGGCGGACGGGUGAGUAACACGUGGAUAGCCUACCUAUAAGACUGGGAUAACUUCGGGAAACCGGAGCUAAUACCGGAUAAUAUAUUGAACCGCAUGGUUCAAUAGUGAAAGACGGUUUUGCUGUCACUUAUAGAUGGAUCCGCGCCGCAUUAGCUAGUUGGUAAGGUAACGGCUUACCAAGGCAACGAUGCGUAGCCGACCUGAGAGGGUGAUCGGCCACACUGGAACUGAGACACGGUCCAGACUCCUACGGGAGGCAGCAGUAGGGAAGCUUCCGCAAUGGGCGAAAGCCUGACGGAGCAACGCCGCGUGAGUGAUGAAGGUCUUCGGAUCGUAAAACUCUGUUAUUAGGGAAGAACAAAUGUGUAAGUAACUAUGCACGUCUUGACGGUACCUAAUCAGAAAGCCACGGCUAACUACGUG